CACGUAGGGUGCGAGCGUUGUCCGGAAUUAUUGGGCAUAAAGAGCUCGUAGGCGGUGUGUCGCGUCGGCCGUGAAAACCUGUGGCUUAACUAUGGGCUUGCGGUCGAUACGGGCAUCACUGGAGUUCGGCAGGGGAGACUGGAAUUCCUGGUGUAGCGGUGAAAUGCGCAGAUAUCAGGAGGAACACCGGUGGGCCGAAGGCGGGUCUCUGGGCCGAUACUGAC
rnacentral:rRNA from 1 species